rnacentral:sRNA from 1 species
GCCAGCGAUGUGCGGGCCGAGCUGGAUGUGGGCGCCGGCAGCUGCUGUUGCUGCAAUUGUUGCUGCUGCAAUUGCACCUGCAACUGCUGCUGCUGCUGCUGCUGCUGCUGCUGCUGCUG